UUCUUCUUCCCCCAUGAACACAGUUUCUCUCUCUGUGCUGUGCUAACUGAAGUUGAAGGAAGGGAGGUCUAGGCAAAACAAGACUGUCUUUCCUACCCUCUUCGAUAUCUCUGUCCUCGUUACUACAUUAUAAACAGGUACACCAGUCCCCAAGAUGGCCGAAUAGGAACAGCUCCGGUCUAUAGCUCCCAGCAUGAGCGACGCAGAAGACGGGUGAUUUCUGCAUUUCCAUCUGAGCUAAGUGACCAGAGAAGUAAUCUAUGCAUUUUCAGUGAACAAUGACAAUUUACUGAAAAGAUGAACAUGUUUUGUGAGGUGACAUUUGCAAAUCAUCAUAGGCCAAGAACUCCCGC